rnacentral:misc_RNA from 1 species
CGCACCUUGCGCUCUUUGGUAUUCCGAAGAGCAUGCCUGUUUGAGUGUCAUUAAAUUCUCAACUCCUCAGUGGUUGUCAUGACCGCUGUUGAGCUUGGAUGUGAGGGUUUUGCUGGCUUUCACAAGUCAGCUCCCUUUAAAAUCAUUAGCGCAGCUUCUGCAAGUCGCUUCAGGUGUGAUAAUUUGUUACGUCUGUCUAGCUCUUGCGUAAUUUGGAGAUUUGUGCUUCGAACCGUCUUCGGACAAUAUUUUUUGAACUUGACCUCAAAUCAGGUAGGACUACCCGCUGAACUUAA